rnacentral:rRNA from 1 species
GUAACGGCUCACCAAGGCGACGAUGCGUAGCCGACCUGAGAGGGUGAUCGGCCACACUGGGACUGAGACACGGCCCAGAUUCCUACGGGAGGCAGCAGUAGGGAAUCUUCCGCAAUGGACGAAAGUCUGACGGAGCAACGCCGCGUGAGUGAUGAAGGUUUUCGGAUCGUAAAGCUCUGUUGUUAGGGAAGAACAAGUGCCGUUCAAAUAGGGCGGCACCUUGACGGUACCUAACCAGAAAGCCACGGCUAACUACGUGCCAGCAGCCGCGGUAAUACGUAGGUGGCAAGCGUUGUCCGGAAUUAUUGGGCGUAAAGGGCUCGCAGGCGGUUUCUUAAGUCUGAUGUGAAAGCCCCCGGCUCAACCGGGGAGGGUCAUUGGAAACUGGGGAACUUGAGUGCAGAAGAGGAGAGUGGAAUUCCACGUGUAGCGGUGAAAUGCGUAGAGAUGUGGAGGAACACCAGUGGCGAAGGCGACUCUCUGGUCUGUAACUGACGCUGAGGAGCGAAAGCGUGGGGAGCGAACAGGAUUAGAUACCCUGGUAGUCCACGCCGUAAACGAUGAGUGCUAAGUGUUAGGGGGUUUCCGCCCCUUAGUGCUGCAGCUAACGCAUUAAGCACUCCGCCUGGGGAGUACGGUCGCAAGACUGAAACUCAAAGGAAUUGACGGGGGCCCGCACAAGCGGUGGAGCAUGUGGUUUAAUUCGAAGCAACGCGAAGAACCUUACCAGGUCUUGACAUCCUCUGACAAUCCUAGAGAUAGGACGUCCCCUUCGGGGGCAGAGUGACAGGUGGUGCAUGGUUGUCGUCAGCUCGUGUCGUGAGAUGUUGGGUUAAGUCCCGCAACGAGCGCAACCCUUGAUCUUAGUUGCCAGCAUUCAGUUGGGCACUCUAAGGUGACUGCCGGUGACAAACCGGAGGAAGGUGGGGAUGACGUCAAAUCAUCAUGCCCCUUAUGACCUGGGCUACACACGUGCUACAAUGGACAGAACAAAGGGCAGCGAAACCGCGAGGUUAAGCCAAUCCCACAAAUCUGUUCUCAGUUCGGAUCGCAGUCUGCAACUCGACUGCGUGAAGCUGGAAUCGCUAGUAAUCGCGGAUCAGCAUGCCGCGGUGAAUACGUUCCCGGGCCUUGUACACACCGCCCGUCACACCACGAGAGUUUGUAACACCCGAAGUCGGUGAGGUAACCUUUAUGGAGCCAGCCGCCGAAG